rnacentral:lncRNA from 1 species
AAGAGAAACUGCUACAGUUUUUUAAAAAUAACCAUAUUUUAUCUGGUUAUGAUCUGGACAAAUCCACCCCUCGACUUUGGUCGUUAACAAUACAUUUACAUCUAGCUUUACAUCAUUUUUCGAUGCUAUAAUUAAUAAAAAUGCGGAACGAUUCAAAAUCUUUUAUAACUUCUCUCUAUUAGUCCCUGAAUCACAACCUUUACAUUUACAUAUCUUAGAAUCAUGCUUAUUUUAUGAUUCACUUUAUCCGAUUUAUUAAAUAGGAUUACACACCUCAAUACAUUAUCCUUAUUACAUUGGAUAAUUCAACAUUUAUAUUCUGUCAUUAAAUAAACAUCAUAAACUGCUGACUACAGAAUUGUAGACCCUUAGCAUAGUUCUAAAUAAAUUCUUGGUAAAGCAAGUCUAUUUUCAUGCAUGCCUUCUGAUCAUUACCACCCAAAUAGCAGAUAAUAUCUCAUUGUAUCCUUAACCUGCAAAAAGGUUAUUUUUGCAAGAAUGAACUCGACAACUCAACAAAUCAAACAGUUUUCAUUCAUCACAUAGCACAUAAUAUCAUGCUCAGCUUAUACAAUCAUAAACAUUCUAGUAUAUCAUACAUGUUGCAUCUCACAUAACAAGUAUAGAGAUUAAUUUCCUUAACUUAACCACAUAGUCAUAGAUUGACUUUUGCAUUGCAUAUACACAAUAUUUGCAAUUCAUAUGUACUUCAUCAUGCUCUUUGCAAUAUAGUUUUAAAUAAAUCAACCAUCAAGUUCAUAUAGCAAAUAAGAACUGAAAGACUUGCCUGGCUCGUUGAUUACCAACUACAGCUUAACUGUUUCGCGUUUAUCCUACAUCAGUUCAGAAAUCCAUAUACACAUGCA